rnacentral:rRNA from 1 species
CCUACGGGUGGCUGCAGUGAGGAAUAUUGGUCAAUGGCCGCAGGGCUGAACCAGCCAAGUCGCGUGAGGGAUGACGGUCCUAUGGAUUGUAAACCUCUUUUGUCAGGGAGCAAAGGGCGCCACGCGUGGCGUGUUGCGAGUACCUGAAGAAAAAGCAUCGGCUAACUCCGUGCCAGCAGCCGCGGUAAUACGGAGGAUUCGAGCGUUAUCCGGAUUUAUUGGGUUUAAAGGGUGCGCAGGCGGAAUGUCAAGUCCGCGGUAAAAUCUCGGGGCUCAACCCCGUCGUGCCGUUGAAACUGGCGUUCUUGAGUGGGCGAGAAGUAUGCGGAAUGCGUGGUGUAGCGGUGAAAUGCAUAGAUAUCGCGCAGAACUCCGAUUGCGAAGGCAGCAUGCCGGCGCUCAACUGACGCUCAUGCACGAAAGCGUGGGUAUCGAACAGGAUUAGAUACCCGGGUAGUC